CCUACGGGAGGCAGCAGUGGGGAAUAUUGCACAAUGGGGGGAACCCUGAUGCAGCGACGCCGCGUGGGUGAAGAAGCGCCUCGGCGCGUAAAGCCCUGUCAGCAGGGAAGAAAAUGACGGUAACUGACGAAGAAGCCCCGGCUAACUACGUGCCAGCAGCCGCGGUAAUACGAAGGGCGCAAGCGUUAUCCGGAUUUACUGGGUGUAAAGGGGGCGCAGACGGGGAUGCAAGCCAGGAGUGAAAGCCCGGGGCCCAACCCCGGGACUGCUCUUGGAACUGCGUGGCUGGAGUGCAGGAGGGGCAGGCGGAAUUCCUGGUGUAGCGGUGAAAUGCGUAGAUAUCAGGAGGAACACCGGUGGCGAAGGCGGCCUGCUGGACUGCAACUGACGUUGAGGCCCGAAAGCGUGGGGAGCAAACAGGAUUAGAUACCCUAGUAGUC
rnacentral:rRNA from 1 species